rnacentral:rRNA from 1 species
UGGGGAAUAUUGGACAAUGGGCGCAAGCCUGAUCCAGCCAUGCCGCGUGAGUGAUGAAGGCCCUAGGGUUGUAAAGCUCUUUCACCGGUGAAGAUAAUGACGGUAACCGGAGAAGAAGCCCCGGCUAACUUCGUGCCAGCAGCCGCGGUAAUACGAAGGGGGCUAGCGUUGUUCGGAUUUACUGGGCGUAAAGCGCACGUAGGCGGACUUUUAAGUCAGGGGUGAAAUCCCGGGGCCCAACCCCGGAACUGCCUUUGUUACUGGAAGUCUUGAGUAUGGUAGAGGUGAGUGGAAUUCCGAGUGUAGAGGUGAAAUUCGUAGAUAUUCGGAGGAACACCAGUGGCGAAGGCGGCUCACUGGACCAUUACUGACGCUGAGGUGCGAAAGCGUGGGGAGCAAACAG